rnacentral:rRNA from 1 species
UACGUAGGGUGCGAGCGUUGUCCGGAAUUAUUGGGCGUAAAGAGCUCGUAGGCGGUCUGUCGCGUCUGCUGUGAAAUCCCGAGGCUCAACCUCGGGCCUGCAGUGGGUACGGGCAGACUAGAGUGCGGUAGGGGAGAUUGGAAUUCCUGGUGUAGCGGUGGAAUGCGCAGAUAUCAGGAGGAACACCGGUGGCGAAGGCGGGUCUCUGGGCAACAACUGACGCUGAGGAGCGAAAGCGUGGGGAGCGAACAGG